AGAGUUUGAUCAUGGCUCAGAACGAACGCUGGCGGCGUGUUUAAGACAUGCAAGUCGCACGGAAUGAACCGAGUAGUAAUACCUGGUGAUUUUAGUGGCGCACGGGUGAGUAACACGUGAAUUACAUGCCCUUCAGUGGGGAAUAGCCCAGGGAAACUUGGAUUAAUGCCCCAUAGUCUCGCAAGAGUAAAGGUGGCCGCAAGGCUGUCGCUGAAGGAUUGGUUCGCGCCCUAUCAGCUUGUUGGUGAGGUAACGGCUCACCAAGGCUACGACGGGUACCUGGUCUGAGAGGACGAUCAGGCACACUGGAACUGAGACACGGUCCAGACACCUACGGGUGGCAGCAGUCGAGAAUAAUUCACAAUGGACGAAAGUCUGAUGGUGCAACGCCGCGUGGAGGAUGACGGUCUUAGGAUUGUAAACUCCUGUCAUCCGGGAGAAAGACUUGGGAGUUAAUAGCUCACAGGGUUGAUAGUACCGGAAGAGGAAGGGACGGCUAACUUCGUGCCAGCAGCCGCGGUAAUACGAAGGUCCCAAGCGUUGUUCGGAAUCACUGGGCGUAAAGGGAGCGUAGGCGGCGCGGUAAGUCGGAUGUGAAAUCCCGAGGCUCAACCUCGGAACUGCAUCUGAUACUGCCGUGCUAGAGUAAUGGAGGGGUAGCUGGAAUUCUCGGUGUAGCAGUGAAAUGCGUAGAUAUCGAGAGGAACACUCGUGGCGAAAGCGAGCUACUGGACAUUUACUGACGCUGAGGCUCGAAGGCUAGGGGAGCGAAAGGGAUUAGAUACCCCUGUAGUCCUAGCAGUAAACGGUGCACGCUUGGUGUGAGGGGAUUCGACCCCCCUUGUGCCGGAGCUAACGCGUUAAGCGUGCCGCCUGGGA
rnacentral:rRNA from 1 species